UGCGUGUGUGUGAGAGGACGACAAUCGGACGCGAUAGUCAGUCGUUAAUGGGAAUCGAAACCUCACGCGUCGUGACGAAAAAGGAAUUCACACUUACCAUAUUCAUUAUUAUUAUUAUUAUUCUUUUUAUUAUUAAUUUUAUUUAUUAGUCUUUUUCGGCACCCUCCCAACCACAUCCUACAAAUGGGGGCUCGUCCACCAAGAGGAUAGUUGAGAAAACGGAUCAAAAGUGAAAAAGUUUCGAUCGAUCAUAGUACGAAGUAACCACGAAAACGUAAAGUGAUAAAGUGAAAGUAGUGGCGAAUUGUGAGCGAAUCGAAAAAGAAAGUGAAAGUGACUUGUGAGUGAAAAGAUAGAAGAAAAUGGGUAAACCGGACGGCGAAAUUAACAACGACGAAGAAAUCGCAAUAGCCAGCGAAGAUGUGACACAGAAAGAGAAAUUUAAAGGCAAAGAAAUCGAUAAAAUGAAAAUCAGUGAGCUACGCAAAAGAUUAAAUGAACUAAACUUGGAAACGACGGGUAAAAAAGCAGACUUACGAGGAAGAUUGAAGAACUACAUGAAAAGCAGAGAUGACAUAGAAGAAACUGAAGAAACUGAGGAAGACUCAGAAGAUGAAGACGAAGAAUUGGAUAAAAUCGAAAGCAAGCAAUAUAAGGGCAGAUCAACGGGAAAAAUGUGCAGUGAACAAUCCAGUAUUUUUACAAUUAGAGAUGUUGUGGAGACCAUACCGUAUUUUACGGGUGACGACAAGUUAUCCAUCAAAAAAUGGAUUCAAGACUUUGAAGACAUGGGUACGUUAUUGCAAUGGAACGAUUUGCAGAUGCUGAUCUAUGCAAAACGCAUGUUACGAGGAUCAGCAAAACAAUAUAUUACGGCAGAGAAAGGUAUCCGAUCGUGGGGUGAAUUGCGUAAACGAUUGGAAAAAGAAUUUAAAACGGAGAUAAACAGUGCCCUGAUACAUUCACAACUGUAUCAACGGAAAAGAUUGCCUCAAGAAACUGGACGACAAUACAUAUAUGCGAUGCGCGAAAUAGCCAGCGUAGGUAAUGUCGAAGAUGAUACCCUUAUCGAAUACAUAAUUAAUGGAAUACAAGACAGAGAAUGUAACAAAUCCAUUCUAUAUCAAUCACGUACAAUAAAGGAAAUGAGGACUAAUAUAAAAAUAUACGAUAAAAUGAAAAAGAGAGCUGGAAAAAAGUCGAACUACAGCAAGAAAGAAGAAAUAAAAGUAAAAGAAGAUACAUUCGCUAAAACAAAGAAGCCUCGUUGCAGCACAUGCGGAUUGCUAGAAUACGACGCUAAGAAUUGUCCAAAUAAAGGUAAAAGGCCAAAAUGUUUUAAAUGCAACAAUUUUGGGCAUAUAGCGAACAAAUGCACGGUAAAAAAAGGAGACAAUGCCGAACCGGCAAACGUGAACUGCAUUGCGAAUCCUAAAUCAACAUAUCCGAUAAAAAUAAAUGGUAAAGAAUGCCAGAUGUUAAUUGAUUCUAGAAGUGAUAUUUCAUUGAUACGAGAGGCAAAACACAAAGAUAUCGGCAGACCGGCGCAGGCAACGUAGCGACGAAGAUCGUCGGCGCCUUUGAUGCGGUCGUAAUGGUAGAUGGAGAGACACAUGGUCUCAAAUUAUUUGUUAUUCCAACAUAUCCGAUUCCGCACGAUAUAUUUAGGGACAGGAUUUUCUAAAGAACGUAGAUAUUCAAUUACAUCAAGGCGAGAUAACCAAGAUCCAGAGAAUAUCAACGACAGAAAAAGAUACACCUACAACUAGUGGAAAUCAGGAAAACGAAAAAACGCCCAUCAACCCAGAAGAAGAGGCAGCUACGAAUAAUGUUGAUGAAGCAUUUACAGAAUUGCGAGAAAUCAUGUACAUCGAAACAGGUGAAGUGAAUGUUAAACACGUACAAGGACAAAAUACUCAAGUUAAUUAGCGAAUAUCAACCAGCGAAAACGACAGAUACGAAGAAACCGCUUCAAUGGAGUGUAUUGAUUCAAAAUUAUUAAUUAGUGGUCCAAUGGCACGGUCCUUACGCAACUGAAAAAUCCACUCGCGACAUAAUAGGGAUGAAGAUAACAACAUUGACGAUGUGGAGGGUGACUGGGCAGGUCUCCUCGCGAGUAUCGGGCUUCUAGUGACCAGCGUUGCCGAGCUGUUGAUCUCUAGCUACAGCUGUCUGACCUUGACUCCGAAGCUCUGCGGAUGUCUCAGGGUGAGCAACAGCGACGAGGUGGGCAACGACGGUCGACUGAAGACACGCAACAUGGUUCACCAGUGGGUCACGGCUCAAAACCACGCGCCGAAGAGUCAACCAAUUUACGUGGUCCAGCCAAUGCUACCCAUACACCCGUUGAUUCAGGUUCCUCAGCUGAUGAAGGUGUUCUUGCGUUCCACCCAAAUCCUCAAAUCCCUAACUUAUAAGCUUCUCUGCGUGGGUCAUGGAUGCUUCGGAGAGUACCUGCAGCGGAUGGGGCGGGAGUCGACGGCGCAGUGUCACCACUGCGGCGAGAAGGUGGACACGGCGCGGCAUACACUCGAGGAGUGUCCGGCUUGAACCACGCCUCACCGUGCUUUUAGAGCCGCAGCGGGUGGGUGGGACCUCUCGCUCGCGACCUUGGUCGACCACAUGGUCUCGAGCGAGAAGUCAUGGAAGGCGGCGGCCUCCUUCUGUGAGGAGGUUAUCUCUGUAGGGAGCGUGACCCGGGCUUGAACAGGCGGGUCUGGUAGCGGGGACGUCCCUCGCGCUGGCGACCACGGGGUCCUUCUGGGGCGUGUGGGGGUUGGGGUGAGGAGAUUCGGGGCGUGCCAGAUCAUGCCGGCAAAAAAAGGGCAAAGGUCUCAGACGAGGACAUUCAACUACUAUUGGACUGGAUCAAGGAAGCAGUUUUGGAGGAAUUUAUAAUUAAGAAAAUCAACAACGAUCGAAGGAUAUACCACUCCGACAGAAUAGACCAAAUAGACGAAGUGUAUAACAGGUAAAGGAAAGCACAAUAUGGAACAAGAGAACGAAAAGUCCAGGGGUCGAACGAAGACCUCCCCAAACAGGCACCGUCUCCAAUAUCGACAAGGGAGUAUGUGAGAAAUGGAUUCAAUAAAAUAAGCAAAGUAGAAAACAACUCGAAGUAUGGAAGAACAUACGGAAGACAGUACAGAAAUGAACAGAUAAAUGGUUCUUCAAUUCCAAUGUCUUCGAAGGAAGCGGAUGAGAGAGACAAAGAGUGGGAUAAGGCGUCAAAUAUCCCAGGAAAAGUGAAGUUUCCCAAUAGCACAAGUGUUAUGAACGUUGAAACUGAUAACGUCAUGUCAUGUGAGGACUGAAAGGGUACAGCAGUUCAAGGAAAAAAGCAGGAGAAGAAGAAAGAAGAAAUUGUGGAAAGAGAAUCAAAAGAGGAGGAUAAAGAGGUCAUAGAGGUGGAAAAGUUGACCAACGAGGAAUCAGCGAUACAAUUUGAAGACUCAAGUGAAAUAAUAGUGAUUAAAACAGGAGAGGACCUGUCAAUUCAGGCAGCCGAAAAAUGGGUAAACAUAGUAAAAAGGUUUAAGGGAGGAAGAGAUUACCCAGUCGGAGGUGAAUCCUGGGCAGACGAACUGAACAGUCAAGGGUAAGUCGGAGCUGCAGUUUUUGUAUUAUAGUCUAAAGGGAAAAGAAAAAGAAGGUUAAUUCUUCUGUUAAACCAUAAAUCCAGUAGAGUGUUGCGGCGAUUCCCGGUAAGAGGGAUCCCUAACGCACCGACAUCCUCUCCCAUACGUCGCUCGCACUCGAUGGCUGCUUAUUACGGGUACCGAGAUCCCCUCAAAUCAAUUAGUGUUCAGCUAGCGAUCAUUGCGUGCGACCACUGACAAGUAAUUAGAGCGAGUGCGAGGAGUGCAAAAGAGUAUAUAAAAACUUUAAUUGCGUUUAUUGACGUCAUAUUUUGGACAUUUACAACAGAGUGUAUUAACUAUUGUACAUUAAAGAUGAUUAUCAUACGAUUAACUUGCUGUUACAAACCUCUUCUGUUUCUCUUACUUCUAAAACGACUUUCGGUACUUUUCCGCGUACCCCGACUCUUUACUGUCGCGUAAACAUAGAGUUAUAGUAUAAACAAAAUAGAAAUCGAUCUAGUAAGUUUAAAAAAAAAAAAGGUGUAAGAGGAACAGAAAGUUGUAAAUUUCUAGAAUAGCAAGUACAGUAAAAGUAGGAAGAAACAGAAGUUAACAAUAAAAGCCUUUGGUAAUUUAAACACAAAGACAUUAAAAAAAUAAAAAGAAGGAGGGAAGAAAAGAGAAGAGAAAAGUGAUAUUUUUUUUCGUUAAUUAAUAAUGUUACGUCCCAACUCGUUUGGGACUUUCUUUUAUGGAUUGUUAUCUUCAGUUAAAGAGCUAAAGCUUACCUUAUCUGUAUUUACUAGGAAAAGAAGGAAUUCUGGGAUUCUAUAAUGAUUGUUACUAAGUUUUAAACAUUAACAUAUAUAAUUAUCAAACAAAACUGAAUUUGGAUUUACAUAGAAACAAGAAUAUAAAUUAUACAAUUGAAAAUGGUUUUUAACAAUACCAAUCGUUGAUCUUAUGCUAUCAGCGGUGUUGUCAGACUUGUCCCGGGUUCGGCUGUGGCGGGGAUCUGGUCUGGUUCUAACACUCGUGACACGGGAUUCUAAUAAUUGGCGAAUAAUUAACGUCGGACUUUCGUAGGUAACUUCGCGGUGACUCUAUCUUUAGUAUGUAUGUUCUCACUUACGCGAACUCUUUACUCAGCUGGAGAUACGAUACACGAUACCUAAAUGAGUCUAACGCGAUAAAUUAUCCCGUCCGCGACUACAGAAUGAUGACUGCCAAAAUAAUAAUACACACUGAGCUCUGUGUGGUCGUGACCACGGGUUUAUAUAGCCCCAGAUCCUUGUCUGGCGCAAUCCGUUAUUUUGGAAUCUUAAUUGCCACAUAUCCGAAUCUGGAGCAAGUCGCAAGUUCGAUGGACGAUUCGUACGCGAGAACAUAGUAUCGCUGACGCCCGUUUCCUGACUCGCGGUUCGUAUUAUUCCGUUCCCGAGAAACGCAUCGUUUAUCGAGCGUAUUCUUAAGAGUUUAUCGAUCUCGCUAUGUGCAAUGCGGGCUCGAUGAAAAGGGACACCAUUCGACAGGGCCGAAUGUAACAAUAACACAGAUUACACUAUAAUCUCUUAUAUUUAACAGGUGGACACGUGCCAUAAUCUAAAUAUUGGUAUAUGGAAUGCUCGUAGUUUAUUAAAAAAGAGUAACGAUUUAUUAAAUAUA